rnacentral:rRNA from 1 species
GAUGAACGCUGGCGGCGUGCCUAAUACAUGCAAGUCGAGCGAACAGACGAGGAGCUUGCUCCUCUGACGUUAGCGGCGGACGGGUGAGUAACACGUGGAUAACCUACCUAUAAGACUGGGAUAACUUCGGGAAACCGGAGCUAAUACCGGAUAAUAUAUUGAACCGCAUGGUUCAAUAGUGAAAGACGGUUUUGCUGUCACUAAUAGAUGGAUCCGCGCCGCAUUAGCUAGUUGGUAAGGUAACGGCUUACCAAGGCGACGAUGCGUAGCCGACCUGAGAGGGUGAUCGGCCACACUGGAACUGAGACACGGUCCAGACUCCUACGGGAGGCAGCAGUAGGGAAUCUUCCGCAAUGGGCGAAAGCCUGACGGAGCAACGCCGCGUGAGUGAUGAAGGUCUUCGGAUCGUAAAACUCUGUUAUUAGGGAAGAACAAAUGUGUAAGUAACUAUGCACGUCUUGACGGUACCUAAUCAGAAAGCCACGGCUAACUACGUG